UCGUCAGUCAGUUGGCCAAGAAACUGGUAGCGUCUGGUGUUGCGAGCCAACAAAAGGCUGGCAGCCAACACCGGACCGGACCGGGGCUACACGGCCCCGGGACCGGGACGGACCCUUGGCCACCGGUUCUGACUGCGGAUUGUGGACUGCCAAUUGAGUUUGAGUUUGAGCGACGCGUAGCCAGCCAAGAAAAGUGGCCAACAACAACUGGCCCUUACCCCUGGCCAUGGCACUGAGGACUGAGGUGGCCUAAGAAGACAUCGCCACGCAGCCAGGAUGUGGAGUGAAAGCAGAGCAGUGGCAGUGGCUGUGGCAGUGGCAGCAGCGUACUUUUUUGGCCGCUCUCGCCAUUUGAUUAGCCAACUCAAACAUCAGGGCCAAGAUCGAGCCAAACAACGGUUGAUGGCCAAUUGACAGCUCACACACAGAUGAACACGCCGACCAGGCCCACACGCGAUUGGACACACGGAUGGGCCACGCUGGACCCCACCAACAGGAUGCUCCUCCACGUCCGUCUCGACCAUACAGCAAUCAUACAGAAAUUACAUCAAUUAAAAUAAGAAGAAGAAGAAGGAGGAGCAUCAUUCCGCAACACCAACAACCAGUUGCUGCUGUGGUGCAAAAGUGUGUGCAAAAGUGUGUGUGGAAAUGUGUGCGUGUGGACUGACCAACUUGCGGUGCCAAAAAGAGUGCCAGAGAAGGAGGUGGCAGGAUGAUGGCAGCCCUGGCUCGGACCCAACCAACAACCAACAAAAACUGGAAGUGGAAGUGGCUGCAGAGGAACAACAACCAACCUUUGGCAAUGUUGAUUGUUUCAUCGGACCAGGCUUAAUGUAAUGAAUCGUCCUGGACCAUCAGCACGUCAGCACGGAGCCAGGCAAACGCCAGCGAAACCUCAAUGGAUAAACAUCAUCCACAGAGAGGCACUUCAAAGAAAAAACCAAUAAAAAAUCAACAAAAAAAUAAAUUAAAUAACGUUACAAACAUUUCAACAUAGUGAACGUAGUGCUUAAAACUCUAUAAAGAAUAAUCGCAUAUAAAUUAUAAAUUAACCACACAUAAAAUACUCAACCGAAAGCAAUAACUUAUAUAGAAUAUGUACUUAAUCCCCCAACAACUAUAACUACGACGUUAUUGAAACUUAACCAACAUUUAUAAAUAUGCAAUAGAACAAAGAAUACUCUUAAACUCUUAGUGAAAUACAUAAUAUAACCCUGGUUAUAUCGAAUACGUGUUAAUGACAAGCACUUGUAGAAAAUUAUUUGAUCGAUUUCGAUCGAGCCUAAAUUCAAUCAGCGCGAGGCACUUGCACUGGUCUCGUCGAGCAUAAGAUGAUGAAGCAGCACCGUUGGAACGAGUGGAGGAGGACGUAGUGAGGAGGAGUGGAAAAUGGAGAACAUCUGAGCGAGGAAGAGUGCCAGAUAAUGCGACUAGUAGGCCCAAAGGAAACCUCGUUGGCCAAUUGGGGUGGAGACAGACCCAGGCAGAGAGCCAAACUGAAACUAUCGGAGGCCUGACCAACCAAUGGCAGUUCAGUACGGAAUCGAAGCCUAGUGCAGAGGGGGACCACGGGAAGGGGAAAGCACCAGGCCAGGACAAUGCGGCGCGCAAUGCAUUUGGCAACAUGUCAAGCAGUCCAGGAAGGAGCACACUCACUCACACGCUCUACGGGGAUUGGUGCAAGUCGUCCAAGUAAUUCUCUGGCCUGCCUCGCUCACAUGCGCAUGGAAAGUUCUUUAAGUAAUUUAUCAACCAUACGCCUGUUGGCCAGGCACCGAGUCCUUGCCGCCACGUCCGUGCCAGUGUGUGUGUGUGUGAGUGUGCCGAGGGCCACGAGGUUUGCCAACUGCAUUGCAGGCCCGUUGCGAUUUAACUUGUGCCCGUGGCGAGCCCCGACCCGAGGACUCCCACCCAUCCAUCCCCAACACAAACGAUGAGUCCUUUGCAAGCAGCGCAUUGGCUGCAGGACGACUGGCGACAGGACGACCAAUCGCAGCACCGCUUGUGCGCACUAUCCCGGCCGCCCUGCAGGCCCCCCGGCACGAGUCACGGGACCAGGACCAGUCAGAGGACUCAAGCUGAUUGCACUAUCCAACUUUUAAACGAUAUACUUAGUUACAUAUUACAUAAUAUAUGUAGUUCUUUAGUCGUAAGUCACAUGCCCAAGCCUACGCCCCCGAAACACCAUCUGCACGGGGGGCGUGAAAAAUUAGUUUAUGUAUAUCUUAGAGUUUCAAGCAACAUAUAUAAAAAUAAUGAAGAUUUCAAGAAUGCGUAAGAAAAAAAGGAAUAAAACCGGUAAAGCUCCAGAGCGGCAAACCAAAA